GUCCUCCAAUGGGGGUCCCACCCUGAUUUGGUGGGGGUCCCAGCACUGAGUGUGGAUAUGGGGGGGCCCAAUGGGCGGUCAUGGUGCCACCAAUGGGGGGAGAACCCAAUUAACAUCAGUGUUAAUUGGAUGGGGGGAUAACGAACCGCGGUCGGAGAGCAGAGCUACGGUGGCCGCCAUGGUUGGGAUGGGAGGUGCUGCAAUGGGGGUCCCAGCAUUGAGUUGGGGGGACAUGGGGGGGACAUGGGGGGGGGUCAUGGUGAUGACAAUGGGGGGAGGGACUCAAUUAAUGUCAUUGUUAAUUGGAUGGGGGGAUAACGAACCCACAUUGGGGAGCGCAGCUAUGGUGGCCACCAUGGUUGAGGACUGGAGGUGCUCCAAUGGGGGUCCCAGCAUUGAGUUGGGGGGACAUGGGGGGGACAUGGGGGGGGGUCGUGGUGAUGAGAAUGGGGGGGGGACCCAAUUAACAUCAGUGUUAAUUGGAUGGGGGGAUAACGAACCCACAUUGAGGAGCGCAGCUAUGAUGGCUGCCAUGGUUGAGGACUGGAGGUCCUCCAAUGGGGGUCCCAGCCUUGAUUUGGGGGGGGGUCCCAGCACUGAGUGUGGAUAUGGGGGGGCCCAAUGUGUCAUCAUGGUGCCACCAAUGGUGGGAGGGACUCAUUAACACCACCCCUAAUUGGAUGGGGGGAUAACGAACCGCGGUCGGAGCGCAGCGCUAUGGUGGCCACCAUGGAUGGGGACUGGAGAUCCUCCAAUGGGGGUCCCAGUCUUGAUUUGGGGGGGGGUCCCAGCACUGAGUGGGGCCAUUGGGAGGGGGGGGGGCGCAAUGGGUCAUCAUGGUGCCACCAAUGGGGGGAGGGACUCAUUAACACCACCCCUAAUUGGAUGCCGGGAUAACGAACCGUGGUUGGAGAGCAGAGCUAUGGUGGCCAGCAUGGAUGGGGAGUGGAGGUCCUCCAAUGGGGGUCCCAGCAUUGAUUUGGGGGGGGGUCCCAGCACUGAGUGUGGAUAUGGGGGGGCCCAAUGUGUCAUCAUGGUGCCACCAAUGGUGGGAGGGACUCAUUAACACCACCCCUAAUUG
ensembl:lncRNA